UAUGGGGGGGGCAAGCGUUGUUCGGAAUUACUGGGCGUAAAGGGCUCGUAGGUGGCCAACUAAGUCGGACGUGAAAUCCCUCGGCUUAACCGGGGAACUGCGUCCGAUACUGGUUGGCUUGAGUUUGGGAGAGGGAUGCGGAACUCCAGGUGUAGCGGUGAAAUGCGUAGAUAUCUGGAGGAACACCGGUGGCGAAGGCGGCAUCCUGGACCAACACUGACGCUGAGGAGCGAAAGCCAGGGGAGCAAACGGG
rnacentral:rRNA from 1 species